UCUCAAGAAAUUGCUGAUCCGGUUUGAUCAUGGUCCACGCAUUGAUCUACCCCAUUUUGAUGGUACGAACCCGUGCCUCUCGCAAUCACGCUGUGAGGAUUAUAUUUCAAACACUCGCUGUGGAUUCAGUUUGCGACCACUAUGUUUGAAGGGGCCACAACUAGGCGGCUGGAAGCACUUCAACGUUGUGCUCCGAAUGCAACGUGGGAGGAGUUUUGCAGGCCGUUGCAGAACCGUUUUUGGAAGGAACCAACACCAGGCACUGGUACGCAGACUGCACUCGAUCUUGCAGAGUGGAGCGUAAGGAUCGUGCUCCUAGCUCACUCCGUUCAUUCAGGAAUAGCACAGGACUUUCCUGACUCACUCUGGCAGCACUCAUUCCUUACUUGAUACUGAUGUUGCUAAUUCACUCCCUGGAGGUCUUCCUUGUUCUCCUCUUAAGGUUAAG
rnacentral:lncRNA from 1 species